GCCGGAGUGGCGGAAUGGCAGACGCAGCUGACUCAAAAUCAGCCGGGGGCAACCCCGUGGGGGUUCGACUCCCCCCUUCGGCA
rnacentral:tRNA from 1 species